rnacentral:rRNA from 1 species
UUCCGGUUGAUCCUGCCGGAGGCUACCGCUAUUGGAGUUCGAUUAAGCCAUGCGAGUCGAGAGUCUUAGGGACUCGGCGUACCGCUCAGUAACACGUGGGUAACCUGCCCUAUGCUGGGGAAUAACCUCGGGAAACUGAGAAUAAUGCCCCAUAGUUCACUACGCCUGGAACGGUGAGUGGAUGAAAGCUCCGGCGGCAUAGGAUGGGCCUGCGGCGUAUCAGGUCGUAGGGGGUGUAACGUACCCUCUAGCCAUCGACGCGUACGGGUGUUGGGAGACAUAGCCCGGAGAUGGAUUCUGAGACACGAAUCCAGACCCUACGGGGUGCAGCAGGCGCGAAAACUUGGCAAUGCGAGAAAUCGUGACCAGGGAACUCCAAGUGGCUGGGGUAAGACCCAGUCUUUUCUUGACUCUUCAAAGGUCUUGGAAUAAGAGGUGGGUAAGGACGGUGCCAGCCGCCGCGGUAAUACCGGCGCCUCAAGUGGUAGUCGAUUUUAUUGGGCCUAAAACGUCCGUAGCCUGUUUGGUACAUUCGUGGGUAAAUCAACCAGCUCAACUGGUUGAAUUCUGCGAGCACGGCCAGACUUGGGACCGGGAGAGGUGUGGGGUACGCUCAGGGUAGGGGUAAAAUCCUGUCAUCCUGAGCGGACCACCUGUUGCGAAGGCGCCACACUAGAACGGAUCCGACGGUCAGGGACGAAGCCUAGGGGCACGAACCGGAUUAGAUACCCGGGUAGUCCUAGGUGUAAACGCUGUGGACUUGGUGUUGGGGAUUCUCCGAGGAUUCUCAGUGCCGAAGCGAAGGUGAUAAGUCCACUGCCUGGGGAGUACGGUCGCAAGGCUGAAACUUAAAGGAAUUGGCGGGGGAGCACCGCAACCUGAGGAUUGUGCGGUUUAAUUGGAUUCAACGCCGG